rnacentral:rRNA from 1 species
GACAGAGGUGCCAAGCGUUAGGCGGAAUCACUGGGCUUAAAGCGUGUGUAGGCGGCCCGUUAAGUGUCUUGUGAAAUCCCCCGGCUCAACCGGGGAACGGCUGGGUAUACUGGCGGUCUUGAGCCAUCCAGGGGCAGUCGGAACAGACGGUGGAGCGGUGAAAUGCGUAGAUAUCGUCUGGAACGCCGAAGGUGAAAACAGACUGCUGGGGAUGCGCUGACGCUGAGACACGAAAGCCAGGGGAGCGAACGGG